UACAUGGGGUGCAAACGUUGCUCGGAAUUACUGGGCGUAAAGCGCGUGUAGGCUGACCGGAAAGUCGGGCGUGAAAUCCCUGGGCUCAACCCAGGAACUGCACUCGAAACUCCCGGUCUUGAGUGGUGGAGAGGGAAGUGGAAUUCCGGGUGUAGCGGUGGAAUGCGUAGAGAUCCGGAAGAACACCGGUGGCGAAGGCGGUCUGCUGGGCAGUAGCUGACACUGAGGCG
rnacentral:rRNA from 1 species